rnacentral:tmRNA from 1 species
GGGGUAGUAAAGGUUUCGACGGGGGUUUAGAAGCUAUGGCAGCCAUCCGAGGAAGGUGACCUCGUAAAAACAUCUACUAAAUAUAAACGCUGAUAAUAAAUUAGCACUCGCUGCCUAAGUGCAGCUGUCAGCCCUGUGUCAUCCGCUGCAUAGGAUACUGGCAUCGAACAGGCGGAGCACUUCCUUGUCAAAGCUUGUAGACAUGGGAAGAAUUACAAGCUACCGAAAUUAUAAGCCUGUGAGUGGGCGUAUAACGUAGGGAAUGUCAAAACACUUACUGUGAUGGGAGAGGUUGUAGUGAAAGAGCUUUCGGACAGGGGUUCGAUUCCCCUCUGCUCCAUAA